rnacentral:rRNA from 1 species
UACGGAGGGUGCAAGCGUUAUCCGGAUUCACUGGGUUUAAAGGGUGUGUAGGCGGAUAUUUAAGUCAGAGGUGAAAUCUCCAGGCUCAACCUGGAAACUGCCUUUGAUACUAUUUAUCUUGAAUUUUGUUGAGGUAGGCGGAAUAUAUCAUGUAGCGGUGAAAUGCAUAGAUAUGAUAUAGAACACCGAUUGCGAAGGCAGCUUACUAAGCAAACAUUGACGCUGAGGCACGAAAGCGUGGGGAUCAAAC